AUAUAAGUACAGAACAGGCAACCACAGUGAGAGCUUUCUCCAUACCAUCCCGUCCAUGUGCCUCAACCCUGACCUGCAAGAUCACCUUUACAGGCCUAUA
rnacentral:sRNA from 1 species